GAAAGCGAUGCCAACUUAAAUCUUUGCUUUGUUGGUCUGGUUUUUAUUUCUUUCUUUUCAUUUUCCCAUAAUUAAAUGUGCCAUAGUACAGGUUUUACUUCCCCAUGUCAAUCGCGAGCAAGUGAAAACAGGAGAAGGGGUGACCUUGCGCUUCCACUCAUUGGUUUGUUUUGUAAAAAGGUUCAGUUGAGAAGCAAUGCUGUUUCACCUCCCUGAGAGAAUUGCCUUGUUUGUGAAAUACUACAGAAAAACCUGUAUUUUCUCCAGAAAAUGAAAGGUCUUGGCCUGAGUAAAUCAAGGCAGAAAACUCACCCCCGUGAAAGCUGCAGCUCUGAGAGUGUGUGGGCAGGGCUUCAACAGAAUACCUGUGGCUGCACUUACAAAAGGCAGCCAGAAGGACCCGUCCAUUCUGGAAAGUACCUUUAGUCUGAAAGGAUUUAUUGCAGAAAAAAUAUGAGGCUUGCUGGUAGUAUUCCCAGGUGACAAAUGUGCACCCAACACCCUACAGAAAAGAAGAACCAUAAAAUAAUUAAUUAUUCCAUUGUAACUCCUGCCUGGAAAACAUCUGGAAGAAGUCACUAGAUUCAGCCCACAUUCAAGAUGAGAAAUACCAGAAGGCAGAGAACACUGAGGCUGUUUUAGAGGCUGUCAACCCCAGGGAGACAGACAGCAAAUAAGUAAGCAAAUAAAUAAAAAUGGAAGGUGAUAAUAAGUGCAAUGAAAAGAAAUGAAGCAGAGUAAAGAAUCAAGAGUAGCAGUUGAGGGGAUGCUUGGAUGUUUUCACACCACUCUGACACAUGGAUGGAAGGUUAGAAGACAACAAAGGAAUGGGCUGGGAAGGACUCCAAAAGCAGAAUCAGAGAUUAUAUCAUUCCUUGGAAAUGGAGAAAAGGAUCAAAAAAGCUGAAUAAAAGGCAAACAUGGAGGAACAGAGUUUGGAGCAAUACCCUGACUUACAUUCAGUACUGUUAAUGGCUCCAGCAUCUUGAAACAAACCAAUUUUGGAUUUUCAGGCGCUGUCCAAGAUGACGUGAACUCCAGGCUAUUGACUUUCCUCUACCUUCAAUGGAAAUUGUCAUGGAGAAUUAAGUUUUUGACAAAUCUACAGCCUAUGUGCAGGGCUUCUUCCUGGGUGUAACAAUAAGGAAUUUGGAAACUGUCUCUAGUUUUGGCCUGGAGUCACACUGCAGCUUGAGACCCUGUCAUUUCCAUCAAGCUUGAAAAUAUACAUCUUAAUAAACUGCAAUACUUCUUAAACCUUGUUAAUUGUUAUUCUUGAGAAGUCGGCUCAUCUCAAUACUGUCUUAACACAUCUGAUCUGAGGUGUAGACCAUUCAAAAGGCAAAGUGAGCAGUCUAUUCUCACUCCUGGAUUCUUCAUUAAAAUAUUAUAUUCCCAGCAUUUCUGUGUCAAAAGGU
rnacentral:lncRNA from 1 species